GGCCUCGCGGCGGUUCACGCAGAGGACUGCAAAUCCUUCAAUCCCGGUUCGAUUCCGGGCGAGGCCUCCA
rnacentral:tRNA from 1 species